rnacentral:SRP_RNA from 1 species
UUUCUGCAGAGCGGCAGCCUGGCUAAUCACACGCCGCUCAGCUCGCCAAAUGUCACACUGCUGCUCUCGCCAUCGCUGCAGUAUACCCUCUACUUCAGCUCAUCCAUCCUGCGCGC